rnacentral:lncRNA from 1 species
AACAAUCCAAACUUGGCCAUAUCAUUUGCUUACACAAUUCCCGGUCUAUCAUACAUAAACAGAAAGAUUAGCAUCUCCUACCACAAAAGUUGAAUCUAGAACAAUUUUAUCCCACCUUUAUAUUAUUAUUAUUCUAAAAAAAGGCAAUGUGUGACUGUCCAACGAAGAAUAAAUAUGAUAAGCAGUAAGUGAUAAAGCAUAUUUUAGUCCACUUUCUGAUUAUCUUAUUGAUAUUUAUUUACAUCUUUUGUGCCUAAUUUUGUAGUUUUAAUCAUGUUUUGCAGAUAUUAGGUGUAAAGAGACAUUCUGAAGAAAAUGCUCUUAAAACUGUCAAAAAGUGCCAAAUAUGGAAAGUGCCAAAAAGGGAAAGUUUUCAAAUAUGGAAAGUGCUAAAUAAGGAAAGUUUUCUGAUAAGGAAAGUGCCAGAAAAGGAAAGCGCAAUUAACAAAUUCUUUGAAAUUCAAAUUGCAGAUUCGUCUUUCCUUAUUCAGACAGAGAAGCCAAUUAUGGAAAGUGUCAAAUAAGGAAAGUUUUCAGAAAAGCAAAGUCCUCAAAUAAGGGAAGUGCAGAAGCAAAAGCAAAUAAGGAAAGCUCAGUCAGAAGAUUAUUUGAAAUUCAAAUCGCAAAUCUUUCUUUCCUCAUUCAAAGACAUGCACACACUGCAGCAGUCAAAUCUUCCAAUUUAGGCAGCAAGAUUUCAAGGAGAUGCACUUGCCUCUUCUUCAUUCAGCAUUCAAAAUUCAAACGAAGGCUCCACCUAAAAAGGAAAGACUGGACAGAUUUCUUUCCACUUAUGCACAUUAAUGACUGCACGCUCUCCUUCCUCUUCUGCAGUCCAUGCGCACACCACUUGCCUUCUGAAGGCCAAUGCGCGCAUCCUUCCUCUUCUGAAACACCAAACGCGAUUCUUUCCUUUUCAGAUGCAACUUGGGCAGCCUCUUGGGCAGCAAGGAGACCUAGGUAACACUUUCAACUAUAAAAAGACACAUAAGGAGCCUUCACACAACUUUUACACACCACCUUGGAGACACCUACGAGAUUCACAUCACUUCUUCUACCUUUCUUCUUUUCUUUUAUUUUUGGUUUUGUUUCAGCCAUGAGAGGCUGAAACCUUUUAUUCUAGUUGAAGAUUAGGUGAUGCUUUAGUUGUUUUAUGGAUUGGGAGACUUGAUCAAACAUUGUUUAACUUUUGGUUGUUCAAUAUUCAUGCCAUUUCAUGAUUUCAAUAUUGCUUUGUUCUUUAGAUCUACGUUGAUUCUUGAUUGCAAAGUAAUAAUAUGUUAAUUUGGAUGAUUUAAGUCUGUAAUUGCUUGGAUUAUUCAAACAUAAGAACACUUGGUGUAAAAACUAAGGAAAUUGUAUGAUCUAACGACAUAUCAUGCGUUUGAGUAGUUAGGAUUGGAUCUCUCUAUCUCUUCAUGCAAUUAACAAUUGUUUUGAUGCCUAAGGCCCAAGGACGUUCCUUGGCAAUUUGUUAAUUAGUAAUUAAUUAGAGGACGUUCCCUAAUUAGUUUAAUCAUAAGGAGAGACAUGGUGGUGAGAAGAGUCUUCCAUCUCCAUAACUAAUCUAUUGAAUCAAUCAAAAGAAACUAAAUGUCAAUGAUCAAUCCCAACAACUGAAGUGGAUCCAAUUCUUCAACUAGAGCUUUCUUAUUAUUUAUUUCUCUUUUAUUUUUAUUAUUUGCUUUAUUUUUAUUGCUUUCAGUAGUUUAUUAAUCAAAUCAAUCUCAAACCCCCCCAUUUUGCUUUUACUGCAAUUUAUUUUUAUUCUGCUUUCAGUUUAUCUCGUUUUCAGUUUUAUCUCAUUUCAGUUUAUUUUGCUUUCCGUUUAUUUCUCUUUCAGUUUUAUCUCGUUAUAUCUCGUUUCAGUUUAUUUUGCUUUUAGUUUAUUCCGUUUUCAAUUUAUUAUUGUUUCAGUUUAUUUUCUUGGUCUUGAUAAGGAAAAUAGGUAAGUUCUCAAUUCCCUGUGGAUUCGAUCCUUUCACCACUAUCUACAGUUGUAAAUUGUUGAUAACCCGAAAGGUUAUUUUUGACCGGCUUCGACAACCGCGAGUCAGUAAGCUACUACAAACUCUGUCCGGAAAGCACAAUGGAUUAGCAGCUAACACAAACACGUCAAGUAGUCCUCAUGAAACAACAGAUUAGUGGACUUCUCAAAAAGUCACAUUAGGAUUUAAUGAUGAAAAAGUUGCAAACCGAAGCUUGUAGCUCCAGCUUGAUGGUUGGGAUAAAAAGCAAACAGAAGUGCUUAGGUGUUCUGUUUACAGAUGAGAACUGGAAUUAGAUAACACUAAGCACAAAUUUUAAAACAAAAUCCCAAUAGUUUAAUGAAAAUUUCCUUUUCGGUAAUAAACUAGAGACAGAAUUAAGCAAAAGAAAAACAAAAAAAGUGUGUGGCUGAAAACCCAAGAAACAAGUGUCGGCUACACUGUAAGCUUUAACGUGUAUGUUUGCCAAUUGAGAGGACAUUAAAAUGGAUCUCUAGUAUUAUCAUAACAAAUAAGAUUGGAAAUGACCACAUCAGCCAAAACAAAUGCAUGCAUGACAAAUUGAGGAUAAAGCAACAAAUGGUUGAUUAAGGUGGUUUUGUCUUGUCCACUGGGAAAUUGAACACUCCGAUAUGCAAAGUGACAAACUAGUGGUGAAAUGAUAAAGAAGAAAAAGGAGAGGCCUAAAAAUGAUGGUGAGUGAAUCAAUAUCAAAAGAUCUACAAUUUCUGGAUAGCAAUGUGGCAUUUGUUUCAAAUAAAGCUGAAAGCUGAACUAGUUUAUGAUUAAAGCUUAAUUAUUGUCAUAAUUCACUUGUGGAGAUUGGGAUUUCAAUUUUGAAGUAAUUUAGGGACAUAGAUUUAGAGUUAAUGACCAAAAUAAUCCCAUCAUUUUUCCAUUUUAGCAAUUGCACCCUAUAACCAAAAUAACCCCAUCCUUUUUCCAUUUUUGCAAUUGCAUUCUAUCUUUUUAUAUUUUACUAACUAAACCCUACACUUUUGUACUUGUUCCAAGUGCACCCCAACAUUGGAUUUUUCAUCAGAGACUAAUGGAAUUGCCACCUCAUCUGACAUGUCAUUACCACGUCAGUUAAGCUCAAAAUACAAUUAAUUAAAACUUAAAAGUUUAGAGUUUAAAGUUCAAGGUGCAAUUUUAGAUUUUUUAAAAGGUAAGGGUUUCUUAAGUUAUUUCUCCUAAAAUUAAAAUUUAUAAUAUUAAAAAAUAGUUUAUAUUAUUAUUAUAAAUAAUAAAUUUUUUAGUUUUAUCAAUGAUUUAAUAU